rnacentral:rRNA from 1 species
CUACGUGCCAGCAGCCGCGGUAAUACGGAAGGUCCGGGCGUUAUCCGGAUUUAUUGGGUUUAAAGGGAGCGUAGGCUGGAGAUUAAGUGUGUUGUGAAAUGUAGACGCUCAACGUCUGACUUGCAGCGCAUACUGGUUUCCUUGAGUACGCACAACGUUGGCGGAAUUCGUCGUGCAGCGGUGAAAUGCUUAGAUAUGACGAAGAACUCCGAUUGCGAAGGCAGCUGACGGGAGCGCAACUGACGCUGAAGCUCGAAGGUGCGGGUAUCGAACAGGAUUAGAUACCCUGGUAGUCCGCACAGUAAACGAUGGAUGCCCGCUGUUGGUACCUGGUAUCAGCGGCUAAGCGAAAGCAUUAAGCAUCCCACCUGGGGAGUACGCCGGCAACGGUGAAACUCAAAGGAAUUGACGGGGGCCCGCACAAGCGGAGGAACAUGUGGUUUAAUUCGAUGAUACGCGAGGAACCUUACCCGGGCUUGAAUUGCAGAGGAAGGAUUUAGAGAUA